rnacentral:rRNA from 1 species
AGAGUUUGAUUAUGGCUCAGGAUGAACGCUAGCGACAGGCUUAACACAUGCAAGUCGAGGGGCAGCGGGAGUGAAGCUUGCUUCACUUGCCGGCGACCGGCGCACUGGUGAGUAACGCGUAUGCGACCUGCCCGCGGCCGGGGGAUAAUCCAUAGAAAUGUGGUCUAAUACCCCAUAUGCCGGAUUCCUACAUGGGGAUUCGUUGAAAGGAGAGAUCCGGGCGCGGAUGGGCAUGCGUCUGAUUAGCUGGUUGGCGGGGCAACGGCCCACCAAGGCGACGAUCAGUAGGGGUUCUGAGAGGAAGGUCCCCCACAUUGGUACUGAGACACGGACCAA